CUCAGCUGCAGGUCUGUUGGAAUACCCUGCCAUGUGAGGUGUCAGUGUGCCCCUGCUGGGGGGUGCCUCCCAGUUAGGCUGCUCGGGGGUCAGGGGUCAGGGACCCACUUGAGGAGGCAGUCUGCCCGUUCUCAGAUCUCCAGCUGCGUGCUGGGAGAACCACUGCUCUCUUCAAAGCUGUCAGACAGGGACAUUUAAGUCUGCAGAGGUUACUGCUAUCUUUUUGUCUGUGCCCUGCCCCCAGAGGUGGAGCCUACAGAGGCAGGCAGGCCUCCUUGAGCUGUGGUGGGCUCCACCCAGUUCGCGCUUCCCAGCUGCUUUGUUUACCUAAUCAAGCCUGGGCAAUGGCGGGCGCCCCUCCCUGAGCCUCGCUGCCGCCUUGCAGUUUGAUGUCAGACUGCUGUGCUAGCAAUCAGCGAGACUCCGUGGGCGUAGGACCCUCCGAGCCAGGUGCGGGUUAUAAUCUCGUGGUGCACCGUUUUUCAAGCCCGUCAGAAAAGCGCAGUAUUCGGGUGGGAGUGACCCGAUUUUCCAGGUGCGUCCGUCACCCCUUUCUUUGACUCGGAAAGGGAACUCCCUGACCCCUUGCGCUUCCCGAGUGAGGCAGUGCCUCGCCCUGCUUCGGCUCGCGCACGGUGUGCGCACCCACUGACGUGCGCCCACUGUCUGGCACUCCCUAGUGAGAUGAACCCGGUACCUCAGAUGGAAAUGCAGAAAUCACCCGUCUUCUGCGUCGCUCACGCUGGGAGCUGUAGACCGGAGCUGUUCCUAUUCGGCCAUCUUGGCUCCUCCUCCUAUAUUUACUCUUUUAAGUUGUGUUCUAAAAAAUUUUCUAAAUACAAAUAAGAAAGAAAAGAUUCAAAGUCAUGAAGCCAUCUUUUGAGGAACUUCUUGGACCAUGUAUGUGGAGCAGUAUCUCCCAACUCUUUCAGCUGCUAUACCCUUGAAACUGGGAGCCAUAGAAAAGCAGAUAGCAUUGCUUCCCUGUGAUCUCUAACCCACCACAAUUGAAAUGACAAGCGUUGAAAUGGGGGCCUCACGGUGGCGCCCUCUGCCUUUGCCGGCCCUUUCUGCAGCACGGAACGGUUCACGCCGCAGAGCACCGGUUCUCAAACUUGAAUAAUGCCUGGACACCCUUGGGAAAGAUAGAAUCAUCUUCAGAAACCCCACAACACGUCAGUGGAGUCCACUUUGAGAAAUGCUGACCUAAAAAUUAGAAUCUUAUUCUAUUAAAAUGGCUUACAUUUGAGAAUUAUCACUGCAAAGAAAAGUUCCGUCUUUAGAACUGCUAAAAGGUUGAGUUUUUACAUCUUUACUCUGCUAUUGAAACAAAACUAUUAAAAUUAUUUUAAAUAUCCUGAAAGUCUCAGACUCCUGAAAACGUGUCCAUAGAUCCCUGCUUGAAAAACCUGCCGGAGUACCUGCUUUUCCUUGCAUUUGUUGGCAGAAGAUGAGCGUUUGACCUUUUACAAACUGCUCUGUAAAUAUCAUCAUUGCUUAGUUGUGAAAGACUAAUGUGUUUCCACUAACAAAACUGUCUUUCCAGGGUUGCUGCUUUCUAGAAUAAUGCUUGUUUUCCUACUGGGUUUUCUGUUGCUGGUGUUUUUUUUAAAGGCAACCAAAUGUGUCUAAGGGAUUGCACUUUAAGGCAAUCCAGGGACUUUUAAUGAAGAACUGAUGAGAAAGCCAAAGUCUCUGGUUGAAAAAAAAAAAAAAAUGUGACAAAGUAGCAGAUCUCAAAAAUAUUAACCAAGUAGAUUCUCUAAUAUUUGAUACUUUAAACGCAAACUGUUUUCUAAACAAUGUUUGUAAGCAAAUGUUAAAAGUAUUUUUUUCCCGGAUUACUGCUUCUUUAUUAAACAGAUAGUAUGAACAAACGAUAGAGUUGGCUUUUCUAUCCUCACAGCAAUCAG